GGUGAAGUAUGCGAAUCGUAGUUCACAUUGAAUGUGGAAUACGAACGAAAUAAGUCCGGCACAGCUUUUCGUUUUACUUUUUGCGGUUUCAUUGCAGAUUUUGUUUCUUCCAUCCUACAUACCACGAGUCUUGCUGUGCCAGUUAACAAAAGUGUAAAAAAAGAAUCGUCCGUAUCUCGCACCGGUGUUAAUGAUUCACAGCCUACUAGAGACAUUUGCUGCUAAAAACAAGAUAGUUCAAUGUUGUCAAGCCGGAAUAAUUAAUUUUACUGGCGUUCGUGAUUAACUUGCAGUCGAAUAGACCGCGAUUUGGGCGCACCCUACGGUAUCCUUAUAAUUCGUCCGCAAGUGAUCGAAUGCGUGUUCUCGAACGUGUUGCCAGCGAGUGCUGCAAGCCGAGUGAAUCUGUUUCGGUUAUCCUCUUGAUUUUCAACUACUUUCUGCUCUGCUUCUUCGCUACCCCCGGGCAAGUGGUCUGCCGGGGGAUUUGUUAACAUCAAGCUGGAUCUCUUGCGGUGGAUCGUUUGUUUCGUAGGUUGCUUGGCACUUGUUGUGGCCGAGGCUGCGGCUUAUGAGCAGCACUCUGCCCAACAGUUGCAGCAGCCGAGCACUGAAGAAACGACAAAGGAGACGGCAAUAUUUACUGUAGAUUCACCGCUGCCACUGGCUUCCACGAGCCAUAAUGAAUCCGAGUGGACCAAGGAUGAAAGGAUAGUCGCAUUGGAAGAUCGACACUCACCACACUACCAUGCACAUCAUCCUGCUGAUGAAGUAGCCUCGGCUGCGGCUUCGAUGCCUGCAGUUUCGGCGCCAUCCGGAAGCGGUGAUGGCACGGUACCGUACGCCUCAUCCAGUAUCAGUGCUAGCCAUGGUCGAGGAUCGCCUGAGCGAAUCGACGAACGAAACGAUUCAGACCGGCCUCAAAAUGAUACGCACGUUCAACAGCGUUACAUACACAAUAGUAAUGAUACAACGUUUCGUUUGCUGUUGACUUCGGCGCAGAAGAAAAGCGGUGCCGAUGGACGAGAUGGUGCUAGCGGGACCACGGCCGUUCGUGACGCCGAUAACUGGCUGUGGGUGCAGUUUGCCUGGUCGUGGCCAGAUUGUUUCUCACUUGGACUUCGGGAGCAUCUCUACUAUCAACUAGGCCAUGGGUUGUUUUUAUUGGCGUUUCUGGCACCAAGCACUGCCUGUGGUGCCCUAUGGUUACGCUGUGCCGCGCUCGCCGGUUGCAUUCUAAUGGGACUCUGGGGUUGGCUUGUGGCUUGUAGCCUUGAUGCUGUCGGCUGGUUCGGACUGUUCCUGGGCGUUAACGCUGUGUACGCGGUAGCGUUGCUGCUCAAACUACGGCCGGUUAAGUUCGAGAAGGAAAUCGAAUCGGUGUACGUGGCCUUGUUCAAGCCGUUGCGUGUGUCCCGCCACCAGUUCAAGAAGGUGCUGAACUGCAUGAAGAUCGUGCGGGCGCUCAAGUUCCAGGAAAUCUAUGUGCAGGAAAAAGUUACCAAAGUUGAUAGUUUGUCACUUGUGCUGUCGGGAAAAUUAGUAGUUUCACAGAAUCAAAAAGCGCUUCAUAUAGUAUUUCCCCAUCAGUUUCUCGAUUCACCCGAAUGGUUCGGUGUCUCAACCGACGAUUUUUUUCAGGUGUCCAUCAUGGCGAUGGAGGAAUCGCGCGUCCUGAUCUGGCAUCGUGACAAGUUGAAGCUGUCAAUCAUGGCGGAACCGUUCCUGCAGACAGUGUUCGACCACAUCCUCAGCAGGGACGUAGUCAAAAAGCUAAUACAGGUCACCCAAGUCAGUGAAACGAUGGCCCAGAGCAACGACUGCAUCUCGUCCGGCGAUGGAGACGACUCGGAGGACAAACCGAUGCUAGUGAUAAAGAGCAAGAUGUCCGACAACGGAGGUCACGGCAUUACUGCCCUAAUAAAUCGUCAACUGCAAGAUGAACAUUUUCCCCUACUGUCGACCGCGCCGCGCAAUCCAUUGCUAACGAUCGACAUGCAAAAGUUGCAUGUACCUCCCGGCGGCCAUAUAUGCAGCACUUGGCGCUGCGAUGAAGCACUCCAUUCUGCUGAGCCUCUGCAACGGCUGAUGGGGCGCGGCUCCGAAGCUCUCUAGAGCUGACGAUGCUGCGGUGGACGGUGGGCCGAAAAACUAUCCACAGAAUUGCGCGUGUUCGAACGAUUGCGAGAUUUUAUUUCUAUACUAAAAAGCGUCGACGGUUAACAAAUAUGCGAUAUCCCAAAUAUUGUCUCUACCAACCAAACAUCACAGAACAACGGCGCACUCAAAGAUGUCGAUAGACAACUUAUAUUCCUUUUGCUUACCAGUUGCGAGAUAAUUAAUUGCCAUGUUACUAAUAAUUAUACUUAGUUUUAGUAUUAAAAGUGAUUGAGCUGUAUAAUUGACUAAAUAUUUUAUAAUUUCUCAAAAAAAUCAUAUAGUAGUUGUUGCAAUAGGGUUGGGGUUUUUCAGAAAAAAUUACAGUUGGGCUCAACAAAACCAAAACGAUGAACAUCCCAUGUGAAACAUAAUUUUUUUAUACCGAUGCCGAUCUGCUGUAUUGUCUGUAGAUCGUCGGCAUACCAUGGCUUUGGUGCUCAGGAUAUUGACUUUCAAUUUUUUUUUUCUUUUAUAUUUAGAGUUUUUCACAAAAACCCUUGUCUAAACACCGUAGCCUACCGUACCGCAGUGAUGCGUCAUAUCAUUCGAAAUUAUAGUUUCCGUCUUUUAUAAUUUUUUUAUCGUUUCUACUUAUCCCUGAACCUGCCGAUACACCUUUUCUUUGUGCCUAUAUGCCUACCUAUGCUGAUUUGUUUUUCAUGAGUAAUAAUUGAUUCUGUGUCGCUGCUGCUAUGAAUGUUGUUACCACUAUUGUCGCUAUUACUUUUACUCUUCAUACUUUUACCGUUGCUAUUACUGCUACAAAAGCCCUUCCCCGGAUCUCGAAGUAUUAUUACUGCGUAGCAAACGAUCAUAAUGCCUGGCGACUGGGGAGAAUCGAUGAGACUGACCACGAAACAGCGGUAUAGGUGAAGGAUGUCAGGAAAUAGCGGUUAACUGGUGGCUUGGUGUACAUGCUGCAGCGGAUGCGAACAUCCUUUUCAACAAAUUAUGUGAUAAUAUUGGUGUUAAUUAUAAGGGGCAGCAACGCAUUGCCAAUGCAAAAGUUGAACCUCUAUGUAUCGUUGACUAAAUUGACUUGCGCCGGUCACACUCAUUCAUAAAGGGGAUUUAAAGUAAAGUAAAACAUAUAGAGGUAUCACUUACGAAGAAUGGUAAUCACUCAGAGCUCACUCGGGUCGUACAUUGUACUGUAUUCCAAGGGCGGGACUUUGCCACAACGGACUUUGCGCUGAACGCAUGUUGCUGGGGUUUACUUUCUAGGUAACGAUUGCCUUUCCGUUCUACUUCUAUGUAACGUCUACAAUCGACCCAUUGUGUAACUGAAAUACAAUUUUCAAGGACAAUACCGUGAACGGGGCAGCUCCAGUUUUGAGAUUCUAUUUCUUUUCCGUUCAAUCUCAACACGGCUAAUUUUUGUAUGUCUAUGUGUAAAGCGUUUAAAAUUUAAAAAAGCAUCUCGAAAGCGGAUGUAUGCGUUCUUCUUCUAUGCGUAGGAACAAUAUUUAACUUUGCGGUCGCUUGUCUUACCACGUUUACAAUACCCAUCGUACGUAGAAUGUCUCUUGGAAUCAAAUUAUCUCGCCACAGUUGUGAUGUGAUAGAAGAGAAGCAGCUUGUGCGAAUCAAUUUGCAAUAACAGUUGCCAACGAUUCAGUUGUCCUUGGUUAGGUCUACAAGGCCCAAGAAAGUUUAACGGCAUGCACCAUCAAGCGAAUGUUUAUUAGCGAGUAUUUUUCUUUUUUAGAAGAGAGCACCGCAAGCGUUGAGGUGCCACCACCAAAUCACUCAUAACAAUUAUAAAUAUCUCCUAAUUAGAUAAACCAAAGGCUUCAAAUUUCAGCAGUCGGCAUUAUAACGUGGGAAAGGUGUUUGUUGUACUUCUCUCAGAGCACCCACAAUGCAUCUAAGUUGCGUUUGUGUACAUAAUUAUAUUUGAUUCUGCUCUUGCUACCAAGUAAAAUCAUUCCGCUACUGAAGUUUAAAGGUUUUUCAAAAAAGCUAACUAAAAACUUUGAAGAUUAUUCUGACGGUAUUUUCUUCCUCUCCUCAAACAUGUUUGAUAGUUUUGGAAUGGGUUACACGUGCUUUAUGGCAAGAGAGAAGUAGACCUAGUGAAAAGAAGGGUCAAUCGUUGUUCUCUCGCAGAACUAGCAAUACAAACUGAGACGGUUUUUAAAUGAAUAAGUACACUUAAUAGCAAGCACAACAAAAUACUCAACACAAUCACAUCUCAUUAACUAAUGUGCAACGUAACGCGUAACGUGACUAUCGAAGCACAGUAUGUAGCCAUAAUGAAUGUUUAGCCAUGUUGUAGUAAUCCGUUUUGUGGAAUGUUUCACGUUAGGAAGGAGAAAGCGAACCUUCUGAUUGUCGACGCAUCUGGCGAGCAUGGUGCUAGUCGUAACAUCUCAUAACGGAGAACGGAGGGAAAUAAGGAUUAUUCCCAUAUUACAGACCGAAAACCAGGGUACUAUAACAACUUAACCCUCAUCUGUCGGCCGUCGUGCUUGAGUUUAGAUAGGAAAAAUAAUUUAUUUACUCCGGCUCAGUAAUAGGUUUUACCCCAGUGGGGAAAGGACACGCUAUCCCGUUCUAGUGCUGCUUUCGUCAGCAGUAGUGUACCCUGAAUACUAGCGGCAUACAGUGUGUAUCCUCAAUAAAAUGAUACCUAUGGUUAAGAUGGAUAGCAAAGAGCAGAGAAAAGAGAAACUGUAGAGAAACUUUUAGCAGAGCUAGUCGACCCCUCGUACGUUAACGUCUUUUUGCGUGGUUGCAGGAAACGGAAAUUAAUGUUAUUACGCCAACAUAAAUCAGCUGGCCCGAUCAUAUGUUGGCAUAGUUGGAAAACAGAGGGAUGUUACAUUUAAAAGACACUUAACAUUUUGCAAAUUAGGAAAUUUUAAAUCUACGUUAUGUCGCUACGGGAGAUAGUAGCGAAUUCUUAAUGAAAAACGAAAUCAGAAGAAAAAUACAAAAACAUUAAAAAUAUAGCAAAUGAUUUAUGAAUGUUCGCAUAUUGGCGAUUGAAUGUUUAUUGCAUUCGAAAUUCGAAAGACACAACCUAAAGUAAACCAAACA